UCUGUACCUCCCAGUGCCCAGUGUACCUCUCCUUCAGAGCUGUGUGUAAGGUGUUUAGUGACACAUGUGAGAUACUCAGCUAGUCUGUACUCUCUCUCUGUAGUGACCUGUAACACUCCCUCUUGUUCUGUUACCCAGUCUGUACCUCCCAGUGCCCAGUGUACCUCUCCUUCAGAGCUGUGUGUAAGGUGUUUAGUGACACAUGUGAGAUACUCAGCUAGUCUGUACUCUCUGUAGUGACCUGUAACACUCCCUCUUGUUCUGUUACCCAGUCUGUACCUCCCAGUGCCCAGUGUACCUCUCCUUCAGAGCUGUGUGUAAGGUGUUUAGUGACACAUGUGAGAUACUCAGCUAGUCUGUACUCUCUCUAGUGACCUGUAACACUCCCUCUUGUUCUGUUACCCAGUCUGUACCUCCCAGUGCCCAGUGUACCUCUCCUUCAGAGCUGUGUGUAAGGUGUUUAGUGACACAUGUGAGAUACUCAGCUAGUCUGUACUCUCUCUGUAGUGACCUGUAACACUCCCUCUUGUUCUGUUACCCAGUCUGUACCUCCCAGUGCCCAGUGUACCUCUCCUUCAGAGCUGUGUAAGGUGUUUAGUGACACAUGUGAGAUACUCAGCUAGUCUGUACUCUCUCUGUAGUGACCUGUAACACUCCCUCUUGUUCUGUUACCCAGUCUGUACCUCCCAGUGCCCAGUGUACCUCUCCUUCAGAGCUGUGUGUAAGGUGUUUAGUGACACAUGUGAGAUACUCAGCUAGUCUGUACUCUCUCUGUAGUGACCUGUAACACUCCCCUCUUGUUCU